GAGGGCAAGUCUGGUGCCAGCAGCCGCGGUAAUUCCAGCUCCAAUAGCGUAUAUUAAACUUGUUGCAGUUAAAAAGCUCGUAGUUGUAUUUUUGCGUUGACGGUUUGACCAUUUGGUUGGUUAUUUCGUUUUCGCUUUUGGGAAUUUCCCUUUUUACUUUGAGAAAAUUAGAGUGUUUCAAGCAGACUUUUGUCUUGAAUACUUCAGCAUGGAAUAAUAGAGUAGGACUUUGGUUCUAUUUUGUUGGUUAUUGAACCUUAGUAAUGGUUAAUAGGAACGGUUGGGGGCAUA
rnacentral:rRNA from 1 species